CACACUCAACAAAAUGGUGAAAAUGCACACGCAAAUAUCUUGUUAGCAGACAGUUAAGAAAUGCGACAAAGUCGUGCAUGAUUUAUCAGUUACUUCAGCGCAUUCUUUAGGCAAGGUCUACAUGUACAUCAGCCUUGGCAAGUAAUACAGGCGUGCCCACGAAUAAUUGAUGAUCAUGUUGAAGGAUGGAUACGGUAUCCAAUCUGGACGUUAACCGCAUGAAUACACGCUACUUUAGAAAGGUUUACCUUCAAUUUCUUGAGGAAGUCUUCUACAAUUUAACUGCAACUUUUCCUUGAAAAGGAUAAUGGCAGGCGAGGCUUGGAUCAGCAGAGAGCAGACCCUUGUUAAUACGAGAAGCAUGCCUCGUUCUCGUUGGUGCCAAA
rnacentral:lncRNA from 1 species